rnacentral:rRNA from 1 species
AGGAUUAACGCUGGCGGCGUGCCUAACACAUGCAAGUCGAACGAGGUAGCAAUACCUAGUGGCAGACGGGUGAGUAACGCGUGGUCAACCUACCGUUGAGUGGGGGAUAACUAGCCGAAAGGUUAGCUAAUACCGCAUACGAGUCUUGGGGGCAUCCCUGGGACUUAAAAGGAGCAAUCCGCUCGAUGACGGGACCGCGUCCCAUUAGCUAGAUGGUGGGGUAACGGCCUACCAUGGCACCGAUGGGUAGCUGGUUUGAGAGAGCGACCAGCCACACUGGGACUGAGAAACGGCCCAGACUCCUACGGGAGGCAGCAGUGAGGAUUUUCCGCAAUGGGCGAAAGCCUGACGGAGCGACGCCGCGUGUGGGAAGAAGGCCUUCGGGUCGUAAACCACUGUCGAAGGGGACGAUAAUGACGGUACCCUUGGAGGAAGCCCGGCUAACUACGUGCCAGCAGCCGC